CUCUAAGCUUUGUUUCUCCAUCUGUUAAAUGAGGAUAACAAUUAUUUUAAUUACGAUAACAGCUGACAUUUGGGAAGAGACAGGUCUGAACUCC